CCCUUAGAUGUUCUGGGCCGCACACGCGCUACACUGAAGGAGGCAGCGUGUACUCCUGGAUCGAAAGAUUUGGGUAACCCGCGAAUCUCCUUCGUGCUAGGGAUUGAGGUUUGCAAUUAUCCUUCAUGAACGAGGAAUUCCCAGUAAGUGCAAGUCAUAAGCUUGCGCUGACUACGUCCCUGCCCUUUGUACACACCGCCCGUCGCUACUACCGAUUGAAUGAUUUAGUGCGGACUUCGGACUGGGACCGAUGCGGCUUUCGGGCUGCGUCGGUAUUCUGGAAAGAUGUCCAAACUGUAUCAUUUAGAGGAAGUAAAAGUCGUAACA
rnacentral:rRNA from 1 species